ACAGAUGCAGUAUUCAAGGGAACACAUUAUUCUUAUUCAUUCUACAGUAGUACAAUACAAAUGGUGAAGAAAACAGUAAAUGUAUACAAAUGUGACGGAGAGAAUCUACAAACAUGCAACAACAAUCCCUUCGUGUCCCACAGACAAUAUGAGAUUCAGCGUAUCAAAGUCUGCCUGUGAUUCAGGAAAGCGAAGGCCGUUUCAAAAGCUCGUCUCUUAUUUCUAUACCGAGCAGCUUCACUGGGCUCAGAUAAGUGACUUCUCUUACUUUUUCACAACACACAAAAGGUAAUCCGUGCAGUACUCCAGCCACCAAUGGAGACAGUGACCGAGACCACCAAAGUGUAUGUCAGGUCGUUCUGAGGAACACAAUGACGCAUUGAGUGCGGCUUCAUGAAGUGAGAAAGGGAGUAAAAAGACAGUGAUGUCCAUAGUUAUUCCCUGAAAGAAAAGCUCUGGGCAUCUGGGUGUUUAGAGUCCAAACUAAAGGCCACAGACAGGAGGGGAAUGGAUGGGGUCAUCGCUCUGAACAAAGAGGGAAGCGAGCUGGUGAUUGGGUUCGUCUUUGUGCCGUUGACCCCGAGUCUCAUUCUGUAUCUUGAGCUUUGAGGACGAUUCCACAAAGGCUCCAUGAAACCUUCAUCUUUUGUAUUGCUUUCGUUUUCGAAAACCGCACGUGAAUUCACACGCUGUCAGAAACCAAUCGUGGGUACUUUGUGGGCAUCAACCCGUUAGACAGAAUAAUCAUCAGAAAUGGGAUCCAUUCAGUGUAAAAAAUCAUGGCAAAUUUGUAUGUAACAUUUCCGAGUUAGACAAGACAUUCAAUGAGAAUGAGAAAUAUAAAUCAAAACUUAAUCCAUCAGGGAUUAACUAAAUCAUCUACUGUAGGGCGGUUUCUCGGACAGGGAUUAGACUAGUCCUAGACUAAAAUAAAUGCACUGACAUAUCUUAAAAUACAUCAUUGCACUUUGUUUUGCUUCAAAAUGCACAGAAGUAAUGCUUUUAUGGAAGGCAUGUUUGUUAAAACUAUAUUUCCUAAUUAAAAUAAGGCCUAGUCCUGGCUUAAGAUAAUCCCUGUCUGGAAAACCGCCCCAUAGGGGAGGUUUCCCAGACAGGUUUUAUCCUAGUCUCAGAUUAAAAUACAUGUUUGAGAUGCCUGAACAUCUUGUUUAAAAACAUCUUGUACUAACACAUUAUAAAAUAUAUCCGUGCUGUUGUUUUGUCUCAAGAUGCACACCAGUAUUGUUUUUUUUUUGUAAGGUAGGCUUGUAAAAACAACCAAAAUGUGCAACCCAGUCUCAUGGCAAGUCACGGCAAGUCAUGUUAUAGUAACGAAAUUUUGAUGACACAAUUUUCAGCUGUUUUUCGUGUCU